AGUGCGGCCGCAAGGUUAAAACUCAAAGGAAUUGACGGGGGCCCGCACAAGCAGUGGAGUAUGUGGUUUAAUUCGAGGCAACGCGAAGAACCUUACCAGGGCUUGACAUCGCCUGACAGCGCUAGAGAUAGCGUGUCUCUUCGGAGCAGGUAGACAGGUGGUGCAUGGUUGUCGUCAGCUCGUGUCGUGAGAUGUUGGGUUAAGUCCCGCAACGAGCGCAACCCUUGCCGUUAUUUGCCAUCAUUAAGUUGGGCACUCUAUCGGGACUGCCGGUGAUAAAUCGGAGGAAGGUGGGGAUGACGUCAAAUCAUCAUGCCCCUUAUGUCCUGGGCUACACACGUACUACAAUGGCCACUACAAUGGGAAGCGAUACCGCGAGGAGGAGCAAAUCCCCAAAGGUGGCCCCAGUUCGGAUUGUAGGCUGAAACUCGCCUACAUGAAGUCGGAAUUGCUAGUAAUUGCAGGUCAGCAUACUGCAGUGAAUACGUUCCCGGGCCUUGCACACACCGCCC
rnacentral:rRNA from 2 species